rnacentral:rRNA from 1 species
CCUACGGGUGGCAGCAGUGAGGAAUAUUGGUCAAUGGGCGCAAGCCUGAACCAGCCAAGUCGCGUGAGGGAUGACGGCCCUACGGAUUGUAAACUUCUUUUGUCAGGGAGCAAUGGCGUCCACGUGUGGGCUUAGCGAGAGUACCUGAAGAAAAAGCAUCGGCUAACUCCGUGCCAGCAGCCGCGGUAAUACGGAGGAUGCGAGCGUUAUCCGGAUUUAUUGGGUUUAAAGGGUGCGUAGGCGGAAGGUCAAGUCAGCGGUAAAAUGGAGGGGCUCAACCUCGUCGAGCCGUUGAAACUGGUCUUCUUGAGUGAGCGAGAAGUAUGCGGAAUGCGUGGUGUAGCGGUGAAAUGCAUAGAUAUCACGCAGAACUCCGAUUGCGAAGGCAGCAUACCGGCGCUCAACUGACGCUCAUGCACGAAAGCGUGGGUAUCGAACAGGAUUAGAUACCCCUGUAGUC